rnacentral:misc_RNA from 1 species
AAGUCGUAACAAGGUUUCCGUAGGUGAACCUGCGGAAGGAUCAUUACAAAUCCACAAGUCACCCUAACCGGUUGACAACGUUGAACCCCCCUCCCUCGGCAGAUCUAACGCGUACCGCGGAGGCCGGACUCUCUGUCACAGGAGACCCCGACCCCCCGCGGAUCGUGCUCUGGAGAAGCCUCGAGGACCUAUUUGACCCCCCAAGCUGAAACAAUGACCACGAAUGUAGCAACAAUCACAACCUAGAAACAACUUAUAACAAUGGAUCUCUAGGCUCUU